UGGCGGCAGGCCUAACACAUGCAAGUCGAGCGGUAACAUUUCUAGCUUGCUAGAAGAUGACGAGCGGCGGACGGGUGAGUAACACGUAGAAAUCUACCUAGUAGUGGGGGAUAGCCCAGAGAAAUUUGGAUUAAUACCGCAUACGCCCUACGGGGGAAAGCGGGGGAUCUUCGGACCUCGUGCUAUUAGAUGAGUCUGCGUCGGAUUAGCUUGUUGGUGAGGUAAUGGCUCACCAAGGCGACGAUCCGUAGCUGGUCUGAGAGGAUGACCAGCCACACUGGAACUGAGACACGGUCCAGACUCCUACGGGAGGCAGCAGUGGGGAAUAUUGCACAAUGGGCGCAAGCCUGAUGCAGCCAUGCCGCGUGUGUGAAGAAGGCCUCAGGGUUGUAAAGCACUUUCAGCAGUGAGGAAAGGGGUGUCGUUAAUAGCGCCAUCCUGUGACGUUAACUGCAGAAGAAGGACCGGCUAACUCCGUG
rnacentral:rRNA from 1 species